UCAUUUUCCUAAAUUGUAGGAGGCUGAUAGAUUCCUUUCUAGGCCUUAUCUCAUUCCCUCAUAGAGCAUAUGCAUAUGCUGUAAAAAGUGACACUUCCUCACAUUCUCACACACAUUAAUUCACUCAGCAGUCCUCUCAAAUACACUCAAGAACAGAUACUGAUUUUACACAGAAUUCUCUAAAAAUUGGAUCUUUUUUUUUAUUUCUGUUUCUGUCACUCUGUUGGUUUAGCUGAGAUUUUGAGGUUGUUUUCUUCUGUUUCCUACUGCUUGAUAUUGCUGAAUCCAUCCAGUGUUGGUUUUUCUUAGCCUUUAUUUGGCAAAAAGUUCAGCUUGUUUACGAGUUUAGGUCAAUAAUUGGGGAUCUGGCCACAUGUUGGUUCGAUUUGCAGUUUAAGGCUUGAGCAAAGUUGCGUCUCCGUCGGAUCUUUGUUGCUUGGGUUUGUUAUCCAUUAAGUAUCAAUUAGAAUCGUGAUCAUAGUGAGGUUUAACCAUAGCUGCAUUUUUUAAUGGGACAUGAAUAUAAAAAUUUUAAGCAUACAAUGAUGCGUUCCAUAGCUGGCAAUGUAGUUGCUCAGGUGACUGUUCAGAAGUUCAUUUGUUCAAUUGAUUAUUUAUUUUGUUAAGCUAUAAUACUGCCAUAUGCCUUAAAUGCUUUGUUCGUGUCCAAAACUGUGUUUUCUCCAAAUCAACUAAAAUUGUUUUAGCAAUAGCAUGAGAGGAAUCGUGUAUGUGUUCAAUCUUCUUACAGAUCUUAGAUGUAUUUGUUUGAUUCAUGCAUGAUCUUGAGCUAUCAAUUAGUUCU